CUUUAUGUACUUGUUCCAGUUUCAGUCCAAUUCUUAGAAGUGAAACUGAUGAUCAAAGUACAUUUCUGUCUCUUGAAUACUCCACAAUGCCCAGCAGCACUUGCCGAGUACUGGACACAUGGCCUGUGCUUAACAAGAGGUAGUACAGCAAUGCAGUUGGAGCAUCGGCUCUGUGACCAGCCAGUGCCAGCUCCACAACUCAUGGCCUGUGUGACCUCAGAUUUAUGUCUCACAGUUCUGGAGGCUGGGAAGUCCAUGAUCAAGAUGCUGACUGAGUUGGUUCCUGGUGAGGGACCUCUUCCUGGCUUGUGCGUGAACCCUUUCUUACUCUAAUCCCCAGGGUACAUCAUGCAAAAUGCCAUGAUGGAUGACUUACAAGCUGGAGUCCAGAUUGCCCAGAGAAAUAUCAACUACCUUUGAUAUGCCAGUUUAAUGGCAGAAAGCAAAGAGGAACUAAAGAGCCUCUUGAUGAAGGUGGAAGAGAAGAGUGAAAAAGCCGGCUUAAAACUCAACA